rnacentral:rRNA from 1 species
UACAGAGGGUGCAAGCGUUGUUCGGAAUUAUUGGGCGUAAAGCGCGUGUAGGCGGCUCGUUAUGUCGGGUGUGAAAGCCCUCAGCUUAACUGAGGAAGUGCGCCCGAAACUGGCGAGCUUGAGUGUCGGAGAGGAUAGCGGAACACCCGGUGUAGAGGUGAAAUUCGUAGAUAUCGGGUAGAACACCAGUGGCGAAGGCGGCUAUCUGGACGACAACUGACGCUGAGACGCGAAAAGCGUGGGGGAGCAAACAGGG